CAGAAUACGUGAGAGUGUGGCAGAGUCCAGCUGAAAGAAAUUGUUUUUUCCCAUCAUACACCGCUGCCAGUCUGCCGUUCCAACUAUCACAGCGUCCCAAUCUUCUCUACUGACAUUGGUCAACAUAUAUUGGGCCACUCACUCCAACUUCGGCAAUUAUUUGGCUGAAGCUCCCACCUUACUCUUCAUCAUGCUCUUCCACAUCAACAAACGUACAAGUGUUUUCCCUGCUUGCUGGCAUCACUGUCAAUUGUAUUUACACGAGUGACAAGUGUCAACAGGAGUCGAUCAGUGCUACUUUAAAGAUGGACUCCAAUAAUCAACAAAGCCGGCCACUCAACCAAGACCCGGACACAUACAAAGUCAUCAUGCUGAGGAUCCCGUUCAUUUUAUUAUUAAGUGGGUUGCAACUCAGAACUUUGAGUUGACUUAGCAAGCAUGAUGUGAAAUAAUUUUUCUUUGAAAGUGUGUUGGGAUUUUGUAUGAGUCAUCCUUUGUAGUCACUCAAGCACAUGUAAAAUAAUUUUUGGAUUUGUGUGGUGUAUGUGUUUUGCAUUCAUUAGUUAAACUGUGGAAGCUGCUUUGCUUGAUAGAAAAAUUGUGACUGCAAGGAAUCAAGUAAUGUUAAAGAGGUGUGCCAAAUGUGAAGCUUGAGUUAGCAGUGGUUCUCUUCUGACUAUGUUCAUAAUGUCUUGUGAUGUAAGGUUGAUUUCUUAUUAUUUUCAGUGUAGGUUUUGUAAAUCUUAAUAAAGAUGCAGGCUGUUACAAUGGAGAACAUGUCUCACACCCAUGUUUUGCUUGCUAUUGCUAU